CAGUAGCCGCGGUAAUACGUAGGGUGCGAGCGUUAAUCGGAAUUACUGGGCGUAAAGCGUGCGCAGGCGGUUGUUUAAGACAGGUGUGAAAUCCCCGGGCUUAACCUGGGAACUGCGCUUGUGACUGCACAGCUAGAGUAUGGCAGAGGGGGGUGGAAUUCCACGUGUAGCAGUGAAAUGCGUAGAGAUGUGGAGGAACACCGAUGGCGAAGGCAGCCCCCUGGGCUAAUACUGACGCUCAUGCACGAAAGCGUGGGGAGCAAACAGGAUUAGAUACCCGGGUAGUCCCUGUCUCUUAUAC
rnacentral:rRNA from 1 species